rnacentral:lncRNA from 1 species
ACAAGAAGGCUAUGUGAUUAGCUUUCAUAAGGACCAUUGUAACAUAUUUUAUGAAAAUAAUAAAGUUACAAAUGAUUUUCUUAUUAACGAUCUCUAUCAGCUAUAUAUUGAUGUAUCUGUAUUUAAAUAUCAAGCAAAAUGUGAAUGCCAUAGGAAUUAAAAGGCCUAGAGAUAGUCUAAAUAAUAGGUAUCUGUGGCACCUAAGGCUAGGUCAUAUAGCGGAAGACAG